AUUGUAAUGGUAAGAACUCCAUUUUGAAAUUUGGCCUGAAUUUUCUGCACAUCACAGUUUUGAGGAACCGAAAAUGCUUGGUUGAACCUGCUCCAUUUGUUACCAACGAUCAGUCGCUCUCCAAUAACUCUAAUCAAACGGGAUGAAUGCACAUAACUGAUAUUGAUUUGCUCCUUUUGAAAACCAGGAAGAUGUACAACUAAUAUGUUAGCUCCUCCUUCUUCCUUCAAUUCAGACUUGGGCUGAAAAUCUUCAUAUUGGAUAGCAGUUGAUCCUCCUGUGCGUGUCCUUGUUGCCAUUUCUAUUGCUGUUUUACUUUGUUUUUCCACCACUUUCGAUUAGGGCCAACUGGUGUAAAACGUUUGAAUGAAACUAUAUUGGUUAAGCAUGUGUCUUUAUAUAUGUACAUAUAUGCAGAGGAUUUUGUUUCAUAUAGUUUUCUUGAUAAUGAAACAAUUCUUAGUUCAUUUAACUAAUUUUUGUAACAUUCCUAUUAAAUUGAAGUUCUUUGUUUGCCCUGUACUCAUUUGCUUAUCCACCUCUCUUGGAUUUUCAUUAUCGCUCAUUUUUUUAUUAUUUUAAUUUUUGUAUAUGAACAUUGGAUUAUUGGAUUUAUGCCUGGAAUUCCUUUCAAUUUCAUUUUAUAAGAUUCAGAAUCAGCUGGACUUCUUGAGCUUUAAGGCAUUUCUGUUCAGAAAAGAAACUCUACAUAUGCCAUCACCUUUGACCAUUCUAUCAGAAAAGAAUACCUUGCCUGUGAAUUUUCUGUACAUAUUAUAAUUUCCUCAGCUAAUUAAUUAAAAAA
rnacentral:misc_RNA from 1 species